rnacentral:rRNA from 1 species
AGGGAUACCCGCUGAACUUAAGCAUAUCAAUAAGCGGAGGAAAAGAAACCAACAGGGAUUGCCCUAGUAACGGCGAGUGAAGCGGCAACAGCUCAAAUUUGAAAGCUAGCCUUCGGGUUCGCAUUGUAAUUUGUAGAGGAUGCUUUGGGUAAAACGCCAGUCUAAGUUCCUUGGAACAGGACGUCAUAGAGGGUGAGAAUCCCGUAUGUGACUGGAAAUGUUAACCUAUGUAAAGCUCCUUCGACGAGUCGAGUUGUUUGGGAAUGCAGCUCUAAAUGGGAGGUAAAUUUCUUCUAAAGCUAAAUAUUGGCGAGAGACCGAUAGCGCACAAGUAGAGUGAUCGAAAGAUGAAAAGCACUUUGGAAAGAGAGUUAAAAAGCACGUGAAAUUGUUGAAAGGGAAGCGCUUGCAAUCAGACUUGUUUAAACUGUUCGGCCGGUCUUCUGACCGGUUUACUCAGUUUGGACAGGCCAGCAUCAGUUUCGGCGGCCGGAUAAAGGCUCUGGGAAUGUGGCCUCCACUUCGGUGGAGGUGUUAUAGCCCAGUGUGUAAUACGGCCAGCCGGGACUGAGUCCGCGCU